UACAGAGGUGGCGAGCGUUGUUCGGAUUUACUGGGCGUAAAGGGUGCGUAGGUGGUUCUAUGUGUCGGUUGUGAAAUCUCACUGCUCAAUGGUGGAACGGCAAUCGAAACUGUGGAACUGGAGUGCAUGAGGGGAGAGCGGAAUUCUUGGUGUAGCGGUGAAAUGCGUUGAUAUCAAGAAGAACACCGGUGGCGAAGGCGGCUCUCUGGAAUGUUACUGACACUGAGGCACGAAAGCUGGGGGAG
rnacentral:rRNA from 1 species